AUGAUUAGAGAUUUUUGGUGGGGAGACGAAGAGGGACAUAGGAAGGUUCAUUGGAUGUCUUGGGAUCGCAUGAUAAAACCUAAGAGAGCUGGCGACAUUGGAUUUAGAGACAUGCACCUGUUCAACCAGGCCCUUCUUGCUAAACAAGCCUGGAGGUUAAUCCAAAACCAGGAGAGCCUGUGUGCAAGGGUGCUCAAAUCUAAGUAUUACCCUAACGGAAAUCUCCUAGACACCGUCUUUGCAUCGGAUGCAUCGCCUGUAUGGAGAGGCAUUGAGUUUGGACUGCAGCUUCUGAAAAAGGGGAUAAUGUGGAGAGUGGGCCACGGGAAAAACAUCCAAAUCUAG
rnacentral:rRNA from 1 species